AUACGGAGGAUGCGAGCGUUAUCCGGAUUUAUUGGGUUUAAAGGGUGCGCAGGCGGCGAGUCAAGUCAGCGGUCAAACUGCGGCGCUCAACGCCGUACCGCCGUUGAAACUGGCGCGCUCGAGUUUGUGCGAGGAUGGCGGAAUGCGCAGUGUAGCGGUGAAAUGCAUAGAUAUUGCGCAGAACUCCGAUUGCGAAGGCAGCUGUCCAGCACACUACUGACGCUCAUGCACGAAAGCGUGGGUAUCGAACAGGAUUAGAUACCCUGGUAGUCCACGCGGUAAACGAUGAUAACUAGUUAUCCGGCCAGAUUGAUGGUUGGGUGACCGAGCGAAAGCGUUAAGUUAUCCACCUGGGGAGUACGCCGGCAACGGUGAAACUCAAAUGAAUUGACGGGG
rnacentral:rRNA from 1 species